UGGAGGUACUUUCCCACAGGUACCAGCUGAGCACGAUGCUAGCUGUGCAAGCAGGAAGCCUCAGGCUGAUUUAAAGUGCUUUUUCUCAAUACAGAGAGUAUCUUAGAACUUACUUUUGCUUCAGAGCUGGACUUCUGCUAAUGAAUACAUUAAAAACAAAAACACGACAACUUUAUUUGUUAGAGAAGAGUCUAGCUAAAAUCUUCUUGGUGCUUUAAAGGCAGGACUUUUCAGGUUGACUUCAGAUCACCUAAACCUGCCAGCUGGCUGUUCUAUACACCUUCACAGAAUUACAGGAUUAUUUGGUUGGGAAGGACCUCUGGAGACAACAGUCCUGCUGAAAACAAAGUCAAACUGUGUUCUGUGAGAUGAUGAACAGCAAUAGCUCAGAGUCCAAUCAUCUCCAAUAAUUUACACCUAUGGAGCAGGACAAGUACUGAUGGUUACACAGGAAAGUACAAUAUUAAUGGACAAAGCUCUUGAUGAAUACAGUAUUUUGUUACAUGCAAACUUCCAUACUACUUCAGAGAAUUAGUAGUGUGCUGGAAAUGGAUGAAAUAAUAACUAGAGAGAAAUAAACGAUGCCAAGACUUUUGUUAAUUGGAAUAGCUAUUUAUGUACUUUGUUCAAGCCUUAUGACACCUUAACACUACUGAACAAAAACAUAUAAGCUGCUGAUCUCAGAUGGUACAAAGUACUUCAUAGUGGCAACAAUACCUUCUUGUAGGGAAUUCUGGAGGAAAGGUGUGAAUAAGUGAAGCAGCUGUAGUUUGCAUUGAUACCCAAAGCAGAGUGGCACAGAAGCACCAGAAAGAAUAGAAAAGUAAUUUACAGCCUCUGAUUACAGAUGAACUAUGUAGAAAUUAAAAAGCCUGUAACAAAAAACAGUUUUCAAAGCACUGAUGCAAAUAAUGUAAGAGUUCAAAGAAAGAGUAAAAAACAGUCAAGAGCACAUUACUGGUGCCAGCUCUGCAAGAAAUAUCCUGCCUCACAUUGUAAGCAUGGCUGCUUUCUGCCGCUGGAUUUAACCAGAAUCAUCUUGUGGGCAACACCAACUUCUGAGCUGGAAGUUCAGCCUACUGCUGGAAAAAGACCUCUGCCAGGGCUUGUACAACUGCUGACCACUUACAGCUCUGGGCUCCUGACACAAAGUGCCCAGCAGCCCCCUGAGCCCAGGCUGGAGUCAAGGCUGUGUGGCCCAACCAGCCGGGGAGGAACUCCUGAGGAUGGAGCAGAGGAGCAGCACCAUGUAAUCCCUAGCUCUCUGCACAACAAUCACAAUAUUUUUUAGAAGAGGAGAGGCUGAGGCAAUUCAGGAAGCAUUGUAAUAUUUCUGAUGAUUUUUACAUUCUCUGUAGGAUGAAGUGCUCGUGAAAACAGAAGACAUUAGUGUUCACAUAGCUCUGGAGGAGCUGGGAAUAUUUUAGCUGUUUGGACAGAAUCUCUAAAAACAUUUGAUUCUGAAUUGUAUUAAUUAAUUCUCACACAAAUAUUUAUAAAACAAUAAAUUAAGUGAAAUUAUUUGUAAAUAUAUUUUUCAUAGUUUCCUUGGUUAUAUAAUAUCCAUAUUAAUUUCCUUAAUUUUCAUCUGCAAUGCCAGUUGCUUUGGCUGUUUCUGUGUCAAAUAAUUUGUCUUUCUCUUUCUAUCACAUAAACUACAUGAGCAUUUUUGAAAUUGCUGUCCCAUUUAUUCCUUGAUGGGCUAUAAUAGUCCUAAUCAAUAUUGUGUUGGAGUCCAUUUGGCCCACAGUGCUGUCAUUUUUGCAGCAAAUGGGAGUCAUUUGCUGUCUUGCUGUCUCGUACAAAAAUAAAAAAGAGAUUUAUACUUUUUUAUACUUGCAGUUAACUCUGCUUGUUCUUUGUGCAGAAAGAAAAUAAGAAAAAGGAGGGUUUGUUUUUUCACCUUUUUUUUUCCUACUAGAAAGAAGCAAUAUGUUUUCUGCAAAUAUGUUGAAUGGGAAGAGAAAAGCUGAAGAACAUCCUACCUGCAGGACAUCUUCCAAAAAUUUGUCACUGACCUUCUUCCAUCAUUUAAGGGUUCUUGCUUCUCACUGGCAAAAGGAGCCAUUUUCACAAACCUUUUGAAACCAGACUGGCAUGAAAGUUGAGGAGAACUAGCUUAAGGAUCAGUCCCUGAAAUUGAUGAAGAAGAAACAGAAUGGUGACUCAGCUUCUUCCCAUGGAAAUAAAAAGCAGCCAAACAACAAUCCAGCUCCCCCUCAAAAAAAGAAACCAAAACAAAUCU